rnacentral:lncRNA from 1 species
AAAGAGAGGAUAUAUUAUUGAUCACAAGAACAUGGUACAUGGAGAUGAUCCACCACAAAGGACAGAGGUUCAUUCCAAACAUGAUGUGAGUUUAUAUCCCUGCAGCCUUAGCAAGAUAAUGAGCAGCUGCAUUUUGUUCCCUUCUAAUGUGUCGAACACGGAUGCCCGGAAAAAGCUCGAGGAUGUCGCGGCAAUGAGACGCUAUAGCACCCAGCUCCAGGAUAUUCCUCUCACCGGUGUUAAUAACGUCACAAGCCCUUUUGCUAUCCGAGUCCACCCAUCCACGCUCAAACCCCAACUCCUUAAGCCAAGAGAGAGCUUCCUUGAUGCCAAUAAGCUCUCCCUCUUCGACACUCCUUAAGCCAGGCAUCUUAAAGGAUUUCCCUCGAAUGAAAGCGCCCUCAUGGUUGCGAAUAAUGACCCCUAUACCCAUGGAGCCAUCUUCCUUGAAGAAAGCUACGUCCACAUCGCACUUGACAGCAUCCAAGGGGAUAGCGUGCCAGCCUUUGCAGAUCGCCUUGGCUGUCGUCGGAGUGCUUCUCAGCGAGUUCUUGGCCCAGGCCACCAACCAUUCCAUCCGAGCAUUGAUCGCGUGAGAAAUCGAGGUCGCCGGAAUAGGAAAAACAUUCUUCCAAACCACCAUGUUUCGGUCCUUAGAUUUUAAACAUAUUAUAUGUGAUCGUAUCUUGGAUGAGCUCAUUGUGAAAAAGUAAGUUUAAAAUUAAGAGUAAAUUUAAAUUUUACUGAUAUGGUUUGGUCGUUCAAAUUUGUUUACUUCUUUAGUUCUUCUGUAUGAAUUUCGGGUUCUACACAGAAGCAAGAAUUAUCGGAUAUCUCACAUAUACCCACUUUCCAAUAAUGAGGAUUAAUUUUAUUAAUCAGAAUUGUGAUUUUAUUAAGUAAUUACAUAUAUAAUUUAAAAUUAUACAUAUAUAUAUAUAUAGUAUUUAUUAAUUAUGUAGUUAAAAAAUAAAUAGUUAUUACAUACAUAGAUAUAUAAAAUUGUGUGUAGUAAUAAUGGAACCAUAUGAAAGUUGAAUUUGUAGUUGCAUUCUAGAAAAGAAGAGCAAAAUAACAAUUGAUUGAAUUUUCAAAAAUUAAUAUAAAAGUGGGGAUCGUAGGUGCAUGAUUGGACUCACCCUUACAGAGUUUUCAUCUUCUCUAAUAAUUUCGUUUGAUUUUUUCAUUGAGCUAGAUUAUAUGUAUAUAUACUUGUUUCUUAUUCAUUUGGUAUUUAGAUAUCUUCUUAAAAAUUAAAUUAAAAAUGAUCAUGAAUUAUUGAAUCUAUCAUUAUUCACUUGAAAAAAUUUGUUGGAGUGGAGUGAGAAAGUGAGGCGUAUGAGAGAGAGAGUAUGGUCCCAUGAAAAUGAAUCAAUGUGGGCUGGGACCAUUGCGCUCGCCACUUUUGGCUCAGUUGGUGCACCACAAACUUUGCAUACCUUCGUACACACGAGAUUCCAUUCUUUAUUUUAGAUAUUUAUUUAUAAGGUAAAUAUCAUAUUAAAUCUUGAACUAUUCUCGCUUUAUCAAAAAUACCCUGGAACUUUCGAAAUGUUCUCUAAACCUCAAAGUAUCAGAGUUUUAUUAAAUAUAUUCCGCAUCUUUUUUCCGGUCCACCGGAAGCGUGAUGUGGCUCGCCGGAUGCCACAAUGUAAUUUAAAAUCUAUUUUUUUAAUCCUAUGUCAUUUUAUAAUAUCUUAUUUAAUCCAUGUCAUUUUUAUUUUAUACUCCAAUGUGAUGCAUAGUCACAUGGCGCUUCUACCAUAUCCCAGUGCGGACUAAUUGUCUCCCAUUUCUUCACCUAAUCAAUUCAAACUUCAGUCAAUAUUUCAUCGAAAUCUACUACAUACUGCCAUUACUCAGAAAAAAUUCCUAUAAUUAAUCCAACAGAUGCAAUCAUAAAGAUAAGCAACUCAAAGCUAAAUGCACACUAAUUGAGUUAUUAUCAUUGAAAUGAUCANGCGGAACAGAAGGGUCAAGGGAGGAGGCGGCGAAACCCUGACGGCGAAGCACCAUGAAUGGUGGAGGAGAGAAGAGGCGACCUGACGGCGAGAGACGGCGUGAGAAGAGAGGCAAGAGGCAGGCAGAGGCGGCGACUAGCCCUAAUUCAUGGGGGAGCGGAUUUACAGAGGGGGAAGGGGGAGACGGAGGCGGCGGCGGCGGAACAGAGGGGAAAGAGGGAGGCGGCGCCGGUGGAACAGAGGGGAAGUGAGCGGCGGCGCCGGUGGAUUUGCAGAGGGGAAACGGUGGAGAGACGAAGAAAGAGAGAAUGAGGAAGAUGGUAGAAAGAGAGAGGCGAGUAGAUGGAGGAGCAAUUAGAAAAAUUAGAUAAAAUUAAUAUUUUUUAUUUUUUUUAAAUAUAUUUGUAAAAUUACUAAAAUACCCCUGGGAUUUUUGGAAAUUCCAGGGGGGUCCAGUGACCCCACUCGCCCCCCUGCUCCCUCCGUCCCCAAAAUAAGUUCUUCUUUGGGGACGGCACGGGUUUUAAGGAACAAUGGUAAAGUGUAUUGAUAGUAGAGAAAAAUAUGUUAUACAUUGGGAGUGGUGAAAAGGUGUUAUAAUUAGUAUUGAGAGUGGUGAAAAAGUGAAAAGUAAGAAUAAAUAAAGUAUUAUUAGUGGUGGAGUAGUUGUCCAAAAAUGGAAAGAAAGAAAGAUGAACUUACUAGGGGGACGUCCCAAAAAAGAAAAAGAGGAACUUAUUUCAGGGACGGAAGGAGUAUUCAUUAAAUCAUUUUUGUUGUAGUCUGUCACAAUUUAGGACCAACAAAAUUCUCAUCUUACUUCUAAAGUUAAUUGCACGUACGUGUAUCUGAAUCUUAUAGUUUUAUUUCACAGUUUCUAUAAUUUAUGUGGUCUAACUCUAAUCUAUGUUUGGAAUGACUAGUUUGUAGGAUUUUCCAACAAUUAGAUUUUUUUUUUUUGAGGAAAAGAGAGGAUAUAUUAUUGAUCACAAGAACAUGGUACAUGGAGAUGAUCCACCACAAAGGACGGAGGUUCAUUCCAAACAUGAUGUGAGUUUAUAUCCCUCGCAGCCUUAGCAAGAUAAUGAGCAGCUGCAUUUUGUUCCCUUCUAAUGUGUCGAACACGGAUGCCCGGAAAAAGCUCGAGGAUGUCGCGGCAAUGAGACGCUAUAGCACCCAGCUCCAGGAUAUUCCUCUCACCGGUGUUAAUAACGUCACAAGCCCUUUUGCUAUCCGAGUCCACCCAUCCACGCUCAAACCCCAACUCCUUAAGCCAAGAGAGAGCUUCCUUGAUGCCAAUAAGCUCUCCCUCUUCGACACUCCUUAAGCCAGGCAUCUUAAAGGAUUUCCCUCGAAUGAAAGCGCCCUCAUGGUUGCGAAUAAUGACCCCUAUACCCAUGGAGCCAUCUUCCUUGAAGAAAGCUGCGUCCACAUCGCACUUGACAGCAUCCAAGGGGAUAGCGUGCCAGCCUUUGCAGAUCGCCUUGGCUGUCGUCGGAGUGCUUCUCAGCGAGUUCUUGGCCCAGGCCACCAACCAUUCCAUCCGAGCAUUGAUCGCGUGAGAAAUCGAGGUCGCCGGAACAGGAAAAACAUUCUUCCAAACCACCAUGUUUCGGUCCUUAGAUUUUAAACAUAUUAUAUGUGAUCGUAUCUUGGAUGAGCUCAUUGUGAAAAAGUAAGUUUAAAAUUAAGAGUAAAUUUAAAUUUUACUGAUAUGGUUUGGUCGUUCAAAUUUGUUUACUUCUUUAGUUCUUCUGUAUGAAUUUCGGGUUCUACACAGAAGCAAGAAUUAUCGGAUAUCUCACAUAUACCCAC